UCGCUAUGCAGACGGCGGCUUCCAUUGGUCGCGUGCGAGUCUGCACAUCCACCGCCUCGUGACUGACCUUCCGGGAGAAGUGCGGGUAGGGCGCAGUCAGCAACUGCGGAGAUGGGAGCGUUGUGCAUCUGACAGUCCGGGCAAAAAUCAUCAGGCUAAGUUUCUUCUUGAAGAAGCUGAUAGUCACAUCAGAUACGAUAGACUGACUCUCCUGAACGUCGGGCAGACGGCAGUUACCAACUAUGUGCCGCCUUUCCGACACUGACAUCUCCUGUUCGCGCGAUCAAUGGGAGACUCACCUCCUACAUAGCUGUGACCUCGGAAGUGGCAUCAGAGGCGAGGGAGAAGGGCCGGUGCUCUGGUGAGGUUGAGACAGCGAGCUAGUCGGCCGCUGCUCCCUACCAUACUCCUGGCUAACGUUCAGUCCCUGGAUGAUAAACUGUGUGAACUGAGAGCCAGAAUCUCCUGCCAGUGGGAAACAAAGGAAUGUAAUGUUUUGUGCUUCAUGGAAACCUCACUGACGGAGGAGAUACUGGAUCAUGCCAUCAAGCCCUCUGGGUUCUCCCUGUUCCAGGCAGACAGAGUAAAAACAACAGAAAACGAUAAACCCCUGAUUUAGUUACAAUUUUACAAGUGGGAGCAGUACCUGUAUCCAUCAAUGAAGCUGGCAUUUAUGUAAUCAGAGCCCUCAACUCCUCGGAUUGGUUGCA